UGGGGAAUAUUGGGCAAUGGGCGCAAGCCUGACGGAGCAACGCCGCGUGAGUGAAGAAGGGUUUCGACUCGUAAAGCUCUGUUGUCGGGGACGAAUGUGAAAAUGGUGAAUAAUCAUUUUCAAUGACGGUACCUGACGAGAAAGCCACGGCUAACUACGUGCCAGCAGCCGCGGUAAUACGUAGGUGGCGAGCGUUGUCCGGAAUUAUUGGGCGUAAAGGGAGCGCAGGUGGGAAAGUAAGUCAGUCUUAAAAGUUCGGGGCUCAACCCCGUGAUGGGAUUGAAACUACUUUUCUUGAGUGCAGGAGAGGAAAGCGGAAUUCCUAGUGUAGCGGUGAAAUGCGUAGAUAUUAGGAGGAACACCAGUGGCGAAGGCGGCUUUCUGGACUGUAACUGACACUGAGGCUCGAAAGCGUGGGGAGCGAACAGGAUUAGAUACCCUGGUAGU
rnacentral:rRNA from 1 species